GAAAUCAGACGACAGUCCUAGGACGCGUGCCCUCCUAGAAAACGACAUAUUCGUGAUGACAAUCUAUAGGGCCAAGGGCAAGAAUCGGACUGAGGAUGAGUUACGGCAGCUUGGUCUCUCUGCUGGCUUCUCUCAUUUCAAACCAAUCUACAUCGAUUAUUUUUACACCGUCUUAGAAUUCCAAAAGUGAUAAGUGUAGUUUGGCUUUAAUUUGGAAUUUUUCAACUGUAUGUUUCUAUUUGAUUAGAGCAAAUGAAGAGUAAUAUAUAUAAAUUAACUCUUUCAAGGUAAAAUACUCUACUGCCAACCAUUACACAAUACAUAAUAUGUAAUGUACGUGAUUAAAAAGAAUGUUAGAGUUACACGUGAGCAGUGGUGGUUCUAGGAUUAAAAAGCCGGUUGGGCAAAACUUACAUAUAAAACUCGACGAUACGAGUGAAUUUCAUUAAUAAACAUAAAAAGAUACACCUAGUUAGGAGGACAUAAUGAGUCUUACCCUCAAAUGCAUCUCUAUCCAUAAAUAAAAGUUCAACAAAUACAAAAUCUAAAACUAAAACCAAAAGUAAAUGCAUGUCCAAAAGUAAAACCAUCAAAAAUAAAGGUUGGGUGUGACUGAUUCAUGUCAAAAAGGAAGCAUGGAAAACAAAAUACCUUAUUCUUAGCAAUUGAAUGCUCAAGCCAAGUGAAUUGGCCAAACCACUUUUUAUUAAAUCGACGAAAGUCCCACCCUUCUAAGUGGCUUGGAUAAUCUUCUAAGUCAGGUUGACAUGGUCCUAAAAGAAUAUAUGCUCUUCGCGCAUUAUUUUGUUCAUUCACCGGAUAUUUGCAUAUUAAACGACGUAAUCCUGGAUCACGCUCAAGAUAAUUGAUAUUAAAAUCAUGAUCAUCAUCGAUUCUUUGAGAUUCAACUCUUUCAACUGGAGGCUCAACAAUGGGAGACUCAUGAAGAUUUUGCUCGUCACAUAUUAGAGUAAAUAAAGAAGUGCUAGAAGAUAAUGUACUAGAUGAUGACCCAUCAUUCUUUUUCUUAAAAAAAAGACAACAAAUUUUUUGUUCUCUAGGGAUUCCGAUUGUGAUCCGACAUAAUAAAAGAUAGCCUAUGAAUUAGAAAAAAAUUUAAUCAAACAUACCAGCAAAAAAUCAAACAAAUUCUCAUAAUAGCAUCUCAACAAAACCAAACCAAAAAUUAUAAUUCAUCCAUAAUUAAACCCUAGAAUAUUCAAUUUUAACAAAAUCUCAAAUCAAAGCUUUAGAAUAAUUCAUCCCUAAUCAAAGCUCUAAUUAAUUUCAACAAAAUCUCAAAAUUAUAAUUCAUCCAUAAUUAAACCCUAGAAUACUCAAUUUUAAAUUAAAACUAUAAUUAAAGAUAUAUAGCAAAGGAGAGAAUGAGAAUAAUACCUUGUUGGUGACAAAAGGAGAAGAGAAGAUGUUGUUGCCAAGUUGCCCACCAAAGAUAAUAGAAGAUGUAGCCAAUAGAGGAAGAAUUUGACCCAAAAAAAGAAGAAGAGAGAAACUUGUUGCUCUGGUAGCAGAGAGAAAGAAGUAGUCUAAUGACCAAAGAGAAGGAUAGAAAAGAUGGAACCACAUGGAUGGGCAACAUAUAGGUAGGAUUUGUUUUUAAUUCUUUUUAUUUUUGGGUUGGACUUAUAACACAUAUAGGUCUUUUUUUUUUUUUUGAAAAAUUUUGGGCUGGGCUUUGCAUAGCCCCGCCACUGCAUGUGAGUUAGUCUCUUUUUUUUAUUUAUCUAAAGAAGAAUUUCAUUCAACUGAAGCAACAUACAGGACUUAAAAAGGUGGCAUUUAGUCACUUAUAAAGGUGGGGUGUAAGCACACAUUUAGGUUUGAAUUCCUUACCUCUAGUCACCAAAUAUCAACCCUUAAACCGAAAAAUCAAAAGAAAACUCUAAACCUUGACUUUAAGUACCAAACUAUAAAUCUUGGAUCUAUAACUAAGUUAGAGUUUUGAAGCUUGAAUGGGCAUAAAAAAAAAAAAAAAAAAAACUCUCAAACCCUAACCGUCUUGAAAGUCACAUCAUAAACUUAGAGCAAUAAGUAUCAAAUCUUAGACAAAAUCCUAAUUUCGUAUCCAACAUCGCUUACUCCAAACUCGAACUCUAAUCCUCACAUCUUAAAAGUCACAUCAUAAACUUAGAGCAACAAGUAUCAAAUCUUUGACAAAACCCUAAUUUUGUAUCCAACAUCGUUUACUCCGCACUCGAACCCUAACCACUAACCCUAAGAAAUAACCUCUUGAACGGCCUUUUAGAGACGCCUUUGAGUUUGUGAUUUUGUAUUGCUUGUUGAAUUAUUUGUUUGAUAAUCCUUCCAAUUUUUUUUAUAUGUUUUUGUUCAAGACUUUAUCCUAGUAGGUCAUAUUACUAGUUUUGUAUGGGGCGCUUAAAAUCUCAGAACGGUCACUAAUUUUGAACUCUUGAUCAUCAGGCUCAAAUCUAAUCUCAAAUUCUAAACAUUGGACCUUAAACUACAAUACUUAAUCUCAAGACUCGAACUUAUAACUUGGAGCCUUAGAUCUCAAGUUCAAAGCAUCGAUCAUCUUGUUUCGGGCCAGACAAACUUCAAACCUCGAGAGCUACCUUAGAUUGAGAUUCCCAGCCUAGAAUGUUCAACCAAACAAAUGAAAAUUGAGAGUACUUGCGCACCAAGACACAAGGAAGUUUCCAAAUACUUAACCCACGAUGUCUUGUCAUCUCAUGUACAGCCAUGAAGCAUUGUACGCAUAAGCGGGCCCAUUGACGCAGCAGAAAAUCUGGGAAAUAUCUAAGACUUUCGAUUCGAUGGCGUCGAGGCUAAAAAUAGAAAAACAAACAAUUAAUCACACUUACUUUCCCCUCUUAAC
rnacentral:lncRNA from 1 species